AUUAAGCCAUGCAUGUCUAAGUACUUGCUAUAACAAGGCGAAACCGCGAAUGGCUCAUUAAAUCAGUUAUGGUUCACUAGAUCGUACAGUUUACACGGAUAACUGUGGUAAUUCUAGAGCUAAUACGUGCAACCAGCUUGCUCUUUCGGGAGCAAGCGCAGUUAUUAGAUCAAAACCAAUCCGGCCUUCGGGUCGGUUAAAUUGGUGACUCUGAAUAACCGAAGCGGAGCGCAUAGUCUCGUACUGGCGCCAGAUCUUUCAAGUGUCUGACUUAUCAGCUUGUUGUUAGGUUAUGUUCCUAACAAGGCUCUUACGGGUAACGGGGGAUUAGGGUUCGAUCCCGGAGAGAGAGCCUGAGAAACGGCUAUCAUAUCUAAGGAAAGCAGCAGGCGCGUAAAUUAUCCAAUCCCAGAUCGGGGAGGUAGUGACGAAAAAUAACGAUGCGAGAGCUCUAAGCUCCUCGUAAUCGGAAUGGGUACACUUUAA
rnacentral:rRNA from 1 species